rnacentral:lncRNA from 1 species
GGGGCCAUAAAUCAAUGUGGUGUUGCUGGAUUUACAGAUGGAGAACUGAGGCCUGGAGAGGGAAAUUGACUUGCAAGCUAUUGAUGGAGCCAGAGAGCAAGGAAGCUCGUCCCAUACAGAAGAGAUGGGAGAUGAGGAAACUAAGUCCCUGACUUAGGGCCACACAUGGCCUGAGUGCAGGUGCUCACACAGCCAUGGAUUUGUCCAGCAGAUUCAACCCUCACCAAACACUCGCAUUUGGAUGAAAAUUGCUUCAAGCACUUUGCAAACUAACAUGCAAAGACAUCAUAUUAUACAUUGGGGGAAAAAAGUAAUAAAAUGUUCAAAUCAUUAACAUCCAUGUUUCUAUACAACUCUAGGAUAAAGUAUCAAGUUAAUCUCAUUCAUUAAAAUAGUUGCCAAAGACGUUUGUCUUUGGACCCAUCAAAUAUACUGUUUGAUGACAUCAUUCAGUAAAGACAGCUUCUCAGCUCACCCAUCUCUUGUUAUCCCAAAAUAAAUUCUGAUGUUUGUAAACUGCACAAAUUAUUAAGUGUUUUUUUAUUUGUCAGUUUCAUCUUCCAAGGAUAAUCUUAAUGCCCUUAAAAUAAU